rnacentral:lncRNA from 1 species
GCAUAACCAGCUUUGGGAUUUUGCAUUAACCACCUCUUGUUAUUCGAGGUUUCACAGGGACCCCACCCAGCAAGCCACAUAAUCUAUAUAACACUUAUUGAUCCAAAGGUGUAGGAAUAGUCUAUGGGCCCAUCUCAUCUGGCCCAUCUCAGUAUAAUAGUCUUUGAAGUUGUCAUGCUUUUAAGGGUUGGCACACACAUACAGAUAACAUAAUGUUAAAUACAAUAGUCUCAAGAUGUGUCUGUGUUUGCUGUAUCUGUUACUUAUUCUUCCAUUUUUUAGGCUAAGGACUUUAUUAGAGCCCACCUCUCCCUCCUCGCCAAUAAUCAUCCAUAUGAACAAGAUAUGAACUAUAUUGCAAAUCUUGAAACACCUGAGCAUUUGGCUUUUCAUAGGCGGGCAAGGGGCAAAGAGGAUUUUGUGACUCAUGCUAAUUUUCUGGAAUACAAUCAACCUGCUAGGACUCAGCUGAUGUGAUCUUCCA